rnacentral:rRNA from 1 species
GAUGAACGCUGGCGGCGUGCCUAAUACAUGCAAGUCGAGCGGAAAGAUGCUGAGCUUGCUCCUCUUACGUUUGCCGCGGACGGGUGAGUAACACGUGGAUAACCUCCCUAAAAUACUGGGAACAUCUCGGGAAACCGGCUCUUAUCCCAGAUAAUAUAUUGCAACACAGUGUUCAAUGGUUAAAUGCGGCUUUUCUGGUACUUCUCGAUGGUUCCGAGCCGCCUUAGCUAGUUGGGAAGGUCAAAGCCUUCCAAGGGAACCAUGCGUGGCCGAGCUGAGAGGGUGAUCGGCCACACUGGAACGGAGACACGGUCCAGACUCCUACGGGAGGCAGCAGUAGGGAAUCUUCCGCAAUGGGCGAAAGCCUGACGGAGCAACGCCGCGUGAGUGAUGAAGGUCUUCGGAUCGUAAAACUCUGUUAUGAGGGAAGAACAAAUGUGUAAGUAACUAUGCACGUCUUGACGGUACCUAAUCAGAAAGCCACGGCUAACUACGUG